CCUACGGGGGGCUGCAGUAAGGAAUAUUGGUCAAUGGACGAAAGUCUGAACCAGCCAUGCCGCGUGAAGGAUGAAGGUCCUCUGGAUUGUAAACUUCUUUUAUCUGGGACGCAAAAAGGGAAUUCUUUCUCACUUGACGGUACCAGAAGAAUAAGCACCGGCUAACUCCGUGCCAGCAGCCGCGGUAAUACGGAGGGUGCAAGCGUUAUCGGGAUUCAAGGGGUCGUAGGGGUGCAUAUAAGUGCGGUGAGAAAGCUCCGGGCUUAACCCGGAAACUGCCAUUGAUACUAUCUGUCUUGAAUACUCUGGAGGUAAGCGGAAUAUGUCAUGUAGCGGUGAAAUGCUUAGAUAUGACAUAGAACACCGAUUGCGAAGGCAGCUUACUACGGAGUCAUUGACACUGAGGCACGAAAGCGUGGGGAUCAAACAGGAUUAGAUACCCUAGUAGUC
rnacentral:rRNA from 1 species